UGCUUCUUGUUUAAUUUAUAUGAAGUAAUUCUGCCCUGUGAUUUUUAAUAAAUUUAACGGCCGCGGUAUCUUGACCGUGCUAAGGUAGCACAAUUAUGUGCCCCUUAAUUGGGGGAUAGAAUGAAUGAAAUUACGAACUACCUAAUAUAACUAAUAUUUAUGUAAAAACUUAUUUGUAAGUGAAAAAGCUUUCAUUAUAACUUAGGACAAAAAGACCCUAAAAGCUUAAAAUAAAAUUUUGUUUAGUUAACUUUAACAUAUUUUUACCUGGGGCGGGGAGAGAGAUAAACACUACUUAAUUACAUCAUACACCUGUGAAAAUCAUUAGCCAAAAGCAUAUGAAUUAGUUACUUUAGGGAUAACAGGUCGAUCCUAUGUUGUUAGAUCCUAUAAUACAUAGGGCUUGACACCUCGAUGUUGGCUUAGGUUAUCCACCUGUGGCAGUACGCAGUCGGGAGGGUUUGUUCAACCUUGAAACACCU
rnacentral:rRNA from 1 species